AUUGAACGCUGGCGGCAUGCUUUACACAUGCAAGUCGGACGGCAGCAUAGAAGAGCUUGCUCUUUUGAUGGCGAGUGGCGAACGGGUGAGUAAUGCAUCGGAACGUACCGAGUAGUGGGGGAUAACUGUCCGAAAGGAUGGCUAAUACCGCAUAUUCUCUGAGGAGGAAAGCAGGGGACCUUAGGGCCUUGCGCUAUUUGAGCGGCCGAUGUCUGAUUAGCUAGUUGGUGGGGUAAGAGCCCACCAAGGCGACGAUCAGUAGCGGGUCUGAGAGGAUGAUCCGCCACACUGGGACUGAGACACGGCCCAGACUCCUACGGGAGGCAGCAGUGGGGAAUUUUGGACAAUGGGCGCAAGCCUGAUCCAGCCAUGCCGCGUGUAUGAAGAAGGCCUUCGGGUUGUAAAGUACUUUUGUCAGGGAAGAAAAGCCUGGGGAUAACACCCUCAGGUCAUGACGGUACCUGAAGAAUAAGCACCGGCUAACUACGUGCCAGCAGCCGCGGUAAUACGUAGGGUGCGAGCGUUAACCGGAAUUACUGGGCGUAAAGCGAGCGCAGACGGUUAUUUAAGCAAGAUGUGAAAGCCCCGGGCUCAACCUGGGAACUGCGUUUUGAACUGGGUAACUAGAGUGUGUCAGAGGGGGGUAGAAUUCCACGUGUAGCAGUGAAAUGCGUAGAGAUGUGGAGGAAUACCGAUGGCGAAGGCAGCCCCCUGGGAUAACACUGACGUUCAUGCUCGAAAGCGUGGGUAGCAAACAGG
rnacentral:rRNA from 1 species